GACGAACGCUGGCGGCGCGCUAAACACAUGCAAGUCGAACGGAAAGGCCUGCUUUCCCUUGUGGAUUGCGGGUACUCGAGUGGCGAACGGGUGAGUAACACGUGAGUGAUCUGCCCCCAACUUGGGUAUAAGCCUGGGAAACUGGGUCUAAUUCCCGAUAGGACUGCAGGGUGGUGCCUGUGGUGGAAAACGAUUUUCUAGUGGUUGGGGAUGAGCUCGCGGCCUAUCAGCUUGUUGGUGGGGUAAUGGCCUACCAAGGCGGCGACGGGUAGCCGGCCUGAGAGGGUGGACGGCCACAUUGGGACUGAGAUACGGCCCAGACUCCUACGGGAGGCAGCAGUGGGGAAUAUUGCACAAUGGGCGGAAGCCUGAUGCAGCGACGCCGCGUGGGGGAUGACGGCCUUCGGGUUGUAAACUCCUUUCGACCGCGAGGAAGCCACCUGGUUGGAAGGGUGGUGACGGUAGUGGUAGAAGAAGCACCGGCUAACUACGUG
rnacentral:rRNA from 1 species